GAGAGAGAGAGAAGUUCUAAAGCCAUUUCCUGCUCUUAAUGAACGAGACAGCAGAAGUACAAAGUAAUUAUUUAUAAUAAGUAGAAACAUUGGGAAAAAGCAAGAACUGAAGGCUGAGAAUAGAGAAAUGGAGAAGGGAAAAAAAACGCCUAUAGCGCACUGUUUGGUCUUAGCCUACCCAGCCCAAGGCCACAUAAACCCCAUGC
rnacentral:misc_RNA from 1 species